CCACACCACACUGCGCAUGCUCGCCGGCCCCCGCCCCGCGCACGGCGUCAGCGUCUAGACGCAGGUGACCAGCAUCAUGUCCCACCGGGUCCCCUGCAGUCCCAGUGCACCUGCCUGCUCAUCCAGGGACCUGUCCUCACUGCCUGCUGCCUGCACUGUGUGGAAGGACAGAGGCUAAACGACGAAGCCUCGAGCUCUGGUCUCAUGGAAAUGGCAGCCUGCCCACCACCCACGCUUGCCCAGCCUUUCUUCACGCAGGAAGAAUAUUUCUCAGCCCUCCGUUCUCAAGACAGAUGAGUGCUUUAGAAAGAGGACUCUGCAGCGGUGAGGAGGAUGGAAUGACAGGCAAAGCACGCAGGACCAGGAGAUGGCUUCGUUCCCUCAAUCACUCAUCCAAAGACGUUUAAUGAGCACCUAUUGUGUGUCAGGCAUUGUACCGGGCAAUGGGGAUAUCGUAGUCAGUAAUAAGUGAGGAGAGAUGAGUUCAUUUGUGAGAGGCUCUGACCAGUGGAAUCAGAGGAAGGGAGUUCCCCUGGGUGGGCCAGGUUCAAAGACAUUUUGGAAGUAGAAUCUGCAGAACAUGAUGAUCUUUUGGAAACAGGGCAGGGACGUGAAUGAGCACGUAAUGUCCCCAUGGGUUUGUCUUUCCGAAGGUUUAAAAUCCUCAAGAAUAAGGAACAUAGGCAUGUGUCGUAACGGUCUCCACAGUGGGGGAGUAUUAUGUUAGUGCACCUGCAUGUUAACUCUGCUCAUGAAGGGGCCACGUCUUCACCACCACAAAGCCUCAAGCAUGCAUAUCUGGUCCCUCCAACCCCCUCCCUAUUGAGGUGCAAUAAAGGCCCAUGUUUCUCCUAGUAUGGGAACAGAACUAAGUCCUUUGUUCUAUUAUUUGACAUGUAUUGACUCAAGCAUUCGAUGAGUAUUGAUGAAGUGUGUUCUAAGCUUGUACCGGGCUAGGUCUUCUACUGCAAUCCCCACGCUUAUAAACCUUGCCAACCUGAGCCACCUGCAAGCUUUCUGACCUUGGGCGUCCUCAUCUCUUCACCUCCACUGGUAAAGAUGAGCUAACUGGUAAAGAUGAGCUAUGGAAAGAACGUGGAGUAGUCCUCGGCACAUAGUAGGAAUUUAGUGAAUAUCAGUUCUCUUCAUUCACAAGCACUUAAUAGGCCAGGUACUGGAACAAAAGACAAAUCAGAUGGAAAGAGGCUCAUACUGCAUCCCGGCCUGGCAGAAUGAGAGCGGCUCCUGGAACCGGGAUUCCACGUCAGCUUUCAGCUUUUUUUCUGCUUUUUCCUUCUUCUCAGGCCUUUCAGGAUUUGGUUCUUGUUUUAAAGCUUCUGACGGAGAGAGCCAAGUAGCCUGUCCUUGCUCUACGGGCUGGGAAGCAAUGAGUGAUUGCUGAAGAGGCUUUUUCUCAGCAAAGGGCAGAGGCAAAGGAGAGAAGAAAGGAAGGGCCCUGUGCUGUGAAGCAAUUUUCUCAUUUUCUGCUGCUGGUGCUUGCGUUGUUGUCUUCCUCAACAUGCAGGGGAGGCCCAGAGAGGCACUGCUACGGGUUCCAGACAUUCCUUGUAUUCUCACUGCCUGGCUCUGUCCUCAACCACUUACUUUCGGUGUUAGCGGUGAGUCUCAAAGGAACAUUGUGCUGAACUGUUCUCCAUCUCAACUACAUGAUCCUGCAGCCCUCAGGAUGAAGGGUUUCGGUCUUUGAUUCCGGCGACCUGGAGGCUUGCUUACUGUCAACUCCAUGCGGAGAACUGUAGAAAACAGGAUAAAGACGAAGACUAGGCCGAGCCGUCCAAGGCAGUGAGUCCACAGUGUAUUCAGGAGUCCAUGCAGCAGGAAGUGGAGCCAUCAUCACAGGGUACGAAGGGAGGACAAGUGCAGUGUCGUGAGCAUGUACAGAGGGAAGUUGACAGCGGGGAGAGGCUUUGCUGAGGAAGUGGCGUUUGGAAGAACGAGAAUGAGGCUUUUCUGGAUGGCAGAGAAGACUACCAUGAAGUGAGUGUGUCAGAGAAACCUGGUCUGAAGAAGGAGGCCAGGGAGCCGGCCAGGCCUUGGUGGGGACAGCAGAUGGACGGGCGAUGCCUCAGACAGGCAGGCGUCUCUCUCAGGGUCUUCAGGGCAUUUUCUCACGCAGCCUCAUAGGAGGCUCAAGGCAGAGGAGGCGCUGCCUCAGUGGAGCGCUCAAGGCGGGCUCUUCUGUCCGAUGGAGUGGAUUACGAGCCAA
ensembl:lncRNA RNF32-DT RNF32 divergent transcript